rnacentral:rRNA from 1 species
UACGUAGGGUGCAAGCGUUAAUCGGAAUUACUGGGCGUAAAGCGUGCGCAGGCGGUGAUGUAAGACAGUUGUGAAAUCCCCGGGCUCAACCUGGGAACUGCAUCUGUGACUGCAUUGCUGGAGUGCGGCAGAGGGGGAUGGAAUUCCGCGCGUAGCAGUGAAAUGCGUAGAUAUGCGGAGGAACACCGAUGGCGAAGGCAAUCCCCUGGGCCUGCACUGACGCUCAUGCACGAAAGCGUGGGGAGCAAACAGG